GGGCGCCAGGGGACCGGGAAAGGGGCCGGGCGGCGCUCAGGCCUGGGGGCGGGGUGCGGCCGGGGGAAGGAAGUCGGCCGCGGGCGGGGGGACAAAGGCCGGGCGGCCGGCCGGGGUCUCGGGGAGGGGCGGGCGCGUGCGGGCCGGGCCGGGCCGGGCUGCGCGGAGGCCGGACAGCUGGCGAGUGUCAGGGCCGCCGCCCGGCCGCACGCACCUCCCCGCGCCCGGGACGCGCGUUGUCCCGGCCGCGCCACGAGUUCACCUGGGACUUUGCAAAUAACUGUGCCACUGGUGGCAGCUGCGCUCCAGCCCGGCGUUUGGCUGGGGGCGGGCGGCGGUGCCCGGGGAAGUGAACUUAUUUUGUUCCUGCACAAAGACUGGACCAGGCGGUGCCUUUCACGCGAGGAGGUGCCGAGCACGGACACCUCGUCGUCGGAUGCAUUGUGUGCGCGAGCAGCACCUCGGGCCCCAGGCGGUCAUCAUUUCACAGAAAAUGCACCGCCCCGAGUGUCUUAUUGCUGUGAUGAAAUGGAAAUUUAAAUAAAAGGUCGAACACGUGCGUUCACUGGGAAGUAUUGACAUGGGUGUUACAUCACCAGCAGCCAAUCAGAUAACGCCAGUCGUGUUUAUACUUCUACAACCACCUUAUGAAAUGUCAUUUUCAUGUAAAAAAUGAUGCUGCUGACCUACCACAAGAAGAUUUUGGCAUUGAGUUAUUUUUCCGGUCAUGAUCGUGUUGUCACCUGGCCACCAGCGAUCCCCAGCUUGAAAUUCCCAUAUGGGUCUUCAGAGUGGUACAGUUUGUGGGUUUUUUAAAUUUCUUUUGUCCUGCUGUGUUUCAGUUGUUGGAAAGUUUAAAAGUGUAGGGUCUUUGCCAUUGACCGAAUUUUUCCCUUUGAGAAGUGACAGGAUUCUGUCUGCUUAGCUGUAUAUAUGUGCUUCCAUGUAAUAUAUGGAAGAAUGUUAUAAUAAUACUGUGCUUUGUCCUCAAUGCGUUUUUAAAAUUCCAGGCACUUUGCAAAUAAAUACAUUAUUUAUAAUAUUUUAACCACCACUGCUUCCCUCAUAAAAAAAAGGUGAGAGUUACUGAAGUUAAUUGCUUAUCUAGGCUUAAAGUGAUGGGAAGUGAAAAUGGACUUGAGAAUUUUUAUUUCAACUUUAAAGGUUGUUUUCAUUCCAAAACUGUUAAAUUCAUAUCUUUGUUUCUUUUCAUCUUACAUGCCUGGUACAUAAUGGGCACUAUGUAAGUUUCUGCUGGUAUUAUUAUUUUUGCUUUCUGGGAGUGUCAGAAUCACCAAAAAUGCUUGAAUCCAUAAUGGUGUUAAUUGUGUCAGGAGUGUAUUUUUCUCAGACAUAUAUCUUACCUUAUAUUUUGUAAGAUCCACAUUGUCUUCUGUCUAGAGUUAUGUUUAAACGUGGGCUAAUUAAGAAUGAACGACACGAGAUUCAAGUGGUACAAAUAAAUGACCAACUCUGGGACCACUGAACUCCUCACAGCCGAAUAGAGUGAGUGUGCGGUGCAUGUGUGUGUGUAUGUAUUUAUGUUUUGUCAUUUUGUGUGUAUAAAUAUAUAUUCUUCUCUAGACCCUGAAGGAAGAUCGGAUCAGCAAAGUUCAAGGGACCAGUAUUCACAAAUGUCUCAGAACAGCCUGUACAAGGGAACUUUGAGUAACAGAAGGGGAUCUCCUGUUCUAAAGCAGGUUCUUCAUAUUUUGCUCUCUGGAAAUUAUGCGAGCAUGUGACCGUGACUGAAGUGCCUAUCUGUGCAGCCUGCAGUCGAGUAGCAGGGAUGUUGGGUCAAUGUUAGUCCCUGCAGAGGUUUCAGCGGAGGAUGCUAAAAAGGCGGAGGGACCACAGUUACUUGAAUGUAAGCGCCAGAAGAUAAGGAACCUUGUCUGUCCUGUUUCCCAUGAUACACCUAGCGCCCGGAAGAACGCAUGGAAUAAAGCAACACUCAGUAUAGUUUGUGGGAUGAAUAAAUUGUUACCGGAAACGAGAAGCAACCAGAUAGGUCAAAAUAAUUUCAAGAUUGAAAGCUUGACCAAGAUAAUCAGACAAGAAGUCCCCUUCUGCCAAAACAAGACUCAAAACCAAAUAAAAAGUGCUUCUUUCACUCCGCCUUAACCUUCACUUUAUCUGAGGAGGUUCCGAAUUUCAAACAGAUGCAGUCACUCCCGAAUAGUGACAGAAUUAGCCGAUCUGCCUUCUUCAAGUCCCAGCCUUUGUUUAAAAGCUCUUCUAGGACUAGGCAGACCAAAGCAAGAUUUUCGAGGAUUGGUGGUUCUAAGCGCCCCCAGGGGUACCUUGAUGGUCCCCUCCGUGCUUCAGGCCCAGAGCUGUGGGUGGACUUGUGAGCAUCUGUGUUUUCCUGUGUAAUCUUAUUCCCUGCUGAUCGCUGGAUUGGCCCCAAAGGAGAAGUUUCAGAUCUCCCAAAACUAUAAGUCAGCUGUCAGCCUGUGGAAAUUAAUUUUUCGACACCUGUGAAACCUUGCCAGUGAUCUCCUAAGGUCUUAGCUAUCCUAUAGCUGGUGUCUUCCGUGCCUGAUCGCCUGUGAAUACAGCAGAGAAGGACCCUCGGGACCCCCACUGCAGCCACUUGGACCCUCCAGUAGCUGAACUGUUCUUUUCAGUGUUACCAGGAACAUUCUGGACCUUAUCACCUCCCUCGUUUCUGGCCUGAUACUUGAAAGCCAUAGUGGAAGUUACCAAGGGCCACAUGUAAGGUGCUUCCCUAAAAAUUCAAGUCACUGUGAGCCAAUGACGUGAAAACAGUCAC
rnacentral:lncRNA from 1 species